GACGAACGCUGGCGGCGUGCCUAAUACAUGCAAGUCGAGCGGAUUUUUGGGAGCUUGCUCCCAAAAAUUAGCGGCGGACGGGUGAGUAACACGUGGGCAACCUGCCUAUAAGACUGGGAUAACUUCGGGAAACCGGAGCUAAUACCGGAUAAUCCAUAUCUACUCAUGUAGGUAUGCUGAAAGACGGUUUACGCUGUCACUUAUAGAUGGGCACGCGGCGCAUUAGCUAGUUGGUGAGGUAACGGCUCACCAAGGCAACGAUGCGUAGCCGACCUGAGAGGGUGAUCGGCCACACUGGGACUGAGACACGGCCCAGACUCCUACGGGAGGCAGCAGUAGGGAAUCUUCCGCAAUGGACGAAAGUCUGACGGAGCAACGCCGCGUGAGUGAUGAAGGUUUUCGGAUCGUAAAACUCUGUUGUUAGGGAAGAACAAGUACUAGAGUAACUGCUAGUACCUUGACGGUACCUAACCAGAAAGCCACGGCUAACUACGUGCCAGCAGCCGCCGUAACAC
rnacentral:rRNA from 1 species